rnacentral:tRNA from 1 species
CAAAAUAUAGUUUAAUUAAAAUAUUCUGUUUACACCAGAAAGAUAUCCACUAAACAGAUUAUUUUGA